AUACCCGCUGAACUUAAGCAUAUCAAUAAGCGGAGGAAAAGAAACCAACAGGGAUUGCCUUAGUAACGGCGAGUGAAGCGGCAACAGCUCAAAUUUGGAAUCUGGCUCCGGAUCGGGGUCCGAGUUGUCAUUUGGAGAGGAUGUUUCGGGCGCGGUACCGGCCUAAGUUCCUUGGAACAGGGCGUCAGAGAGGGUGAGAAUCCCGUAUGCGGCCGGCCUCCAACCCCUCACGAAGCUCCUUCGACGAGUCGAGUUGUUUGGGAAUGCAGCUCAAAAUGGGUGGUAAAUUUCAUCUAAAGCUAAAUACCUGCCAGAGACCGAUAGCGCACAAGUAGAGUGAUCGAAAGAUGAAAAGCACUUUGGAAAGAGAGUUAAAGAGUACGUGAAAUUGUUGAAAGGGAAGCGCUUGCGACCAGACCUGCCCGCGGACGUUCAGCGGUGGUUCUCCACCGCGCACUCGCCCGCGACCAGGCCAGCAUCGGUUCCGGCGGCUGGAAAAAGGCCGCGAGAAUGUAGCUCCUCCCGGGGAGUGUUAUAGCCCGUGGUGAUAUACAGCCAGCUGGGACCGAGGACCGCGCUUCGGCAAGGAUGCUGGCGUAAUGGCCGUAAGCGGCCCGUCUUGAAACACGGACCAAGGAGUCUAACAUCUAUGCGAGUGUUUGGGUGUCAAACCCAUGCGCGCAAUGAAAGUGAACGGAGGUGGGAACCCUCUAGGGCGCACCAUCGACCGAUCCUGAGGUUUACGGAUGGAUUUGAGUAUGAGCAUAGCUGUUGGGACCCGAAAGAUGGUGAACUAUGCCUGAAUAGGGUGAAGCCAGAGGAAACUCUGGUGGAGGCUCGCAGCGGUUCUGACGUGCAAAUCGAUCGUCAAAUUUGGGUAUAGGGGCGAAAGACU
rnacentral:rRNA from 1 species